UCUAAAUAUUUUCAAUAAAUCCGGAAGUCGGCGCAUUAAAUUAAUUGUCUGAUGUCCUGAAUAUAAGUAGAAUUGUAGGCACGGCAAGUAGUUACAAGAACUGGACCAGUUUUGUACGAGUCUGUUGCAGAUAGUACAGUGAAAAUGAAGUUAUUGUUGGUGAUGUUGGUGGUUUUCUUUGCAUCCACUGCAACCUACAAUGCGUUGCCGCAACCACCACAGCACCCGGGCUCGGGACAAGGGGGUGGAGUCUUGAAAGGAAACAAUGAACGUACCCCGGGGUGUAUUUUUACCAACAGCGGGGGCCAGGGGCAGCAGCCAGCUUCCAAUCAGACUGCCGAGGGAAAGUAAAACUUCCGUUUUCAAUCGAUCAAACAAUUCGAUCGUUGCUGCUAGUAAAUGUAUAUUGCUUUUUUGCUUACUUGCCCUUACUUCUCCAUGUUUAAAGUCGACGAAACAAAAAAUUGUUGGUUAAUUCCUUUCCGUGCUUCUUAUUUUACACAUUUACACACGUACCCUUAUUAUUCGGAAGAGUUUAUGCUGUGGUCUAAACAGAACAAUCAGAAAUAAAAAUUUGUUUUUCGUAUUAGCGAAGUAUUUUUGCGCAAGAGUAGUUACUGAUUCCCUAAAGGCAUUCAGAUUGUUGAGCAAUUUUUUAGAUCUUCCUCGAUGUAUAAUUCAGGUGAAAAUUAUUUUAUUUUUGAUUUUGUGUGUACAAAAAUUGAUGUAAAUAUAAUUUAUUGAAAAGUU